GGAUUAGAUACCCUGGUAGUCCACGCUGUAAACGAUGGAUACUAGCUGUUCGACGAGAUUAAUUGUUGAGUGGCUAAGCGAAAGUGAUAAGUAUCCCACCUGGGGAGUACGUUCGCAAGAAUGAAACUCAAAGGAAUUGACGGGGGCCCGCACAAGCGGUGGAGCAUGUGGUUUAAUUCGAUGAUACGCGAGGAACCUUACCAGGGCUUAAAUGUAGAUUGACAGGUUUGGAAACAGACUUUUCUUCGGACAAUUUACAAGGUGCUGCAUGGUUGUCGUCAGCUCGUGCCG
rnacentral:rRNA from 1 species